UUUUUUUUUUUUUUUUUUUGUCUCCUUGUUUUUCUUCCUUUAACAACACAGGGGCCAGAAUAGCUCUUAUGCCAGGUUCUUUCCUUCCCUUUUCUUUUUCUGAGUUUUUGCGUUUUUUUAUUGUUGCUCAGGGCAGCCUCACUAGCCGACAUGAUAGCGUUGAGUAAAGAUAAUACGUUUUUUUUUUUAAUCUGCCAAAGCUGUGACCACCCUUGGAUCGCUAGCAUGCCUAGGUGAAUUUUUGGUUAAAGAAGUGCAAGCUCAAGAUUAAGGAUAGCAGAGACAUUUGAGCUUGUAAAUAGGAUCAAAGGCUUUUUGCAAUUUGUAGUACCUACAUAAACAUCUACAUAGAGAAGAUUAAACAAGUCUGUUAAAGGUAAAAAGAGAUAUUCACCCCCUGCCCCAGGCCUCCCCCCGCCCCCACUACCCAAGAGAGUUGAUGAUUUUCAAAAGAAGGUUGCUUCAGUUACACAUUAUUAUUAUUAUUUAUGAAUCCAUCUUUGAAGUCCAAUCCCAAAUGGCAUUUCCAUUGAGAAAUGUCAGUCCCACACUGGGCUCUGAGUAAACACGCAGGUACCUGGAUUGGAGUCCACGGAGCAGCUGCAUCCUGGGACCAGUUACUAAGGCUGAAAGGCCGCGCUCGAGACACGCUCAGCAGAGAUGCACACGGGAGGUCCUGCCGGCCCCCGGCCACGCAAAUCCGGCUUCCCCUAGAACUGAGGUAGGACUGUGGUAGUUUUGAGUGCAUGCCAGUAAAUGCCAGAUUUUACCACUCUCGUGGGUAUUGGUGGAAUCUCCUAGCAUGCUGAGGGAUAAAUCUGCUUUGCCAAAAUGAAAGUAAGAAGAAAUAAAGACACUGGCCACAAUUUAAAAGGCCAAUGGGAACAUCCAAUUUUCUUGAUUACAACUCCUUCGGCGAAUUUUGUCAAACGAACAGAACACAGCACAAACAGCAGAAUGAUGAAUGCCCCCCGCGGGAACCAGGCAGAGGGGCAGGUGUCCUUGCCUUGUGGGUUUAGAGUCUAAUACGGUGGCAGAUGUUCCAAAUCCUAGUCAUUGCUCAGAUCCAAAAAGAAAAUUGUAAGCAGCUUCAGAUUAACAAAACGAAACGAAACAAAACAAAAAGAACGCAAACCACCACCACCGCUGAGCAUCUUCUUUCAUGUCAUUUUCUGAUGUGAGAUGUCACGGUGACAAAGCCAGACAGAUCCUCACUCUGGAAAAGAAAGGAAAGAAGUCAGUGGUGACUGUCACAGGGACAGAGCGAUCCUGACUUAGAGGAAGAAACCCCCUGGAGCCACCUUCACGGCCUGUGAAGGCGUGAACACUUCCAAAUGCGAUGCACUUUGGGAAGCCACCAAACCCUCAUUCUGUUUGCCAGAAACAACCUGGAAGGAUAGGCCCCACUCGGCUUCCGGGGGGGGGGGGCUGCUGGCGAGGGGCCGGGGGAGCACGAAGACCACAGGUUGGCACCAAGGGCCGGAAGCGCAUCCGGAAGCUGUGCCAUUGGGGGUUAGCGGGAACACGGGACAUGUGGGGAGUCCACACCCUGCCUCGGAAGCCCUCCCACUGGAUCGUGGAUCCCCUCCCCCGAAUGACCAGGAAGAUGCAAGUACCUGCAGCCACAUGCUUGUCAUCCCACACCCUCCUCAUCUGCGUGGCUGCCUGGGGCAGGGUUAGGUCACUUACUCCCACCAGCCUGGUGGUGACAAGGCCUUAGGACCCCAGCCUGCUCGAACUCCCUCCUGCCUUCCAGGCCCAGGGAUCAAACUUCCUUAACCUGUUCCCGAUUUUCAUCAUUUCCAGCAUGUUUUUACUCCCUAUGUUCCUUCUUUGGCGGACAGACCAACCAAGUUGAGAGACUCCAACAUCUCACAGCAAAUUGCCUUCCUUUUUAAGCUUUUUGGCUUUUUAAUCAAAAUGCCAGGUGGUUCUUUUGCAUGCCCAUCCCCGUGAUGGCAGCCGAUGGGACACCUGCGGGCGCUGCUGGCCACGCCCUGCCCUACGCAGGCAGGUGCUCUUCCCUGGCUGUUGUACUCACAGGACCUGCACUUCCCAACACUGCUCCAGAAUCAUUACAACUCGCCCCCAACCCUCACCCCACUACCCGUUUUACUUUGUUGUGAAGCUAAUUCUUUUCUGUGCACCUUGAGUUCAGGGGGCUGCUCCCAGCAAGAGAGGAUUUCCAGAGCACCAUGCAGCCCAGAAUGAGCGCCUGAGAGCCCUGAUGGCUUCGCAUGCCAGGCCGUGCCCUGGUACUGACUCCGCGGGCUGCAUCCCAUGUGUGGCCAGAAAAACAAAAGGCCUGGACACACGAGCUUCUGUCAACUGCCAACAUACACUGUAAACAUCAUACCUUUUCCUGUUUUCUCAUAAGUCCCCUACAAUGUGGUAUUGCCAUCAUUUAUUAUUUUUAAAAAGCUUUAUGUUGGGGCACCUGGGUGGCUCAAUGGUUGAGCGUCUGCCUUUGACUCGGGUCAUGAUCCAGGAUCCUGGGAUCGAGUCCCAUAUCAGGCUCAUUGCAGGGAGCCUGCUUCUGUCUCUGCCUCUCUCUGUGUGUCUCUCAUGAAUAAACAAAAUCUUAAAAAAAAAAAAAAAAAAAAAA
rnacentral:lncRNA from 1 species